GAAGUUCCCCACACUGUGGACUCUGUGCUGGAGUUGACCCGGAGAUGGAACUGGACAGGAAACAGGAAGUCAGCCUCCCCCAGAACUAACGUGUUUGGCUGAGGUGCUGGCCUGGUGAUUGACAGGCGGUGUGAGGUCUCACUGGAGGACUGGAGCCGCGUGAGGGCGCUGGACGACUCGAAGCUCUGGCUGUUACGGAUGGAGGAAGGGGAGCCCAUCGGACCGGCAGGGGACGGGACGGGCGGCACGCCCGGGACGCUCGGCAUGCUGGGAGCUCGCACCAGAUCACAUUAUUGGUGUCAACAGGGAAACAUCUUGCUCUGAAGCAUUGUAGGCACAGGACCACAGCGUCUGGAGACGGGCCCCGGGUUCAGAGAACCGCUCGGACCUCCGUGACCCGAUCGGAGCACGUCUGCGGUAAAGCGUGGCGAUUUGGCCCGUCACACGCAAGAGCCUCACAGAAUAGAGCUAUUCAGGCCUGGCCACCAAACAAGUGCCCCUCCUGUGGCCCGGGCACAAAGAUGCUCUUAUGAGGGAACUGGCCCGUGUGGAGCGCUCCUGCACAGCUGAAUCCCCGCAUUCAGGAGCCCCAGAGCACGCUCUCCCCUUCAAACACGUGUCAUACGUCACACAUGCAGUGCCCGUGCGUUCCUACAGGGGGCGAUACGCACGAGAAAAACAACAACCGCUGCUCAUCUUACAGACAGAAGUGCUGUACUGUGGCUGCCCACUGCUCCUGAGUAGCCAGGAUGGGUCGAAUGCAGAGUACAACUUACAAUUACCCCACAGGGUUCAGGAGAGCGCAUCUUAAAUCUCACAGCACAGAUUCAGCUUGAGUGACAGAGGAUGAAUGCCUGUUCCUGGGCCACAUGUCCCUAAAUAGGGCACCUGAACACGGUAAUGAGACAGACGUGUGAUCUCACUUCCUGGGCACCUGAACACGGUAAUGAGACAGACGUGUGAUCUCACUUCCUGGGCACCUGAACACGGUAAUGAGACAGACGUGUGAUCUCACUUCCUGGGCACCUGAACACGGUAAUGAGACAGACGUGUGAUCUCACUUCCUGGGCACCUGAACACGGUAAUGAGACAGACGUGUGAUCUCACUUCCUGGGCACCUGAACACGGUAAUGAGACAGACGUGUGAUCUCACUUCCUGGGCACCUGAACACGGUAAUGAGACAGACGUGUGAUCUCACUUCCUGGGCACCUGAACACGGUAAUGAGACAGACGUGUGAUCUCACU